GACUUUUAUCUGCUGAAAUUUGCAGGCGGAAGAAGCAAAGCUGAUAACUCAACUGGUGGAGAUGGAUGCUAUUAAUUAUGCUCUUUUUGAGCAGGCAUACACUUCGUCUUUGGAUAUGAGUAAGUUUUUGGACUGUUAUGAGAUGUUAAAGCUUCUUAAGGGACCAUAUGAUGUGAAUGGAGCGUCGAUGGUCAUCAAAGCUGAAUCCAAUGGCAAUUACCAUGAGAUGAAAUCCUGGAAAAUAGCGGACUGUAAUAUUCAUCUAUAAUGGGGAUAUAUUCCUUUUCCAUUAGCUAAUUCAAUGAAGUUCACUCAGUUUUGUUGACCCAAAAAAAAAAAAAAAAAUCUUUUGGGCUUAAGCCUCUGCUGGUUCCAAUCUCUCUGUCUCUCAUGCAUUUGCUAAUCCAGUUAUGGGCUGAAAAACUACUGAGAAUGUACCAAAAAUGGGCUGAGAAGCAAGGUUAUUGAGGGAGGAUUGUAGAGAAGCGUCGGGCAACAAAUGGUGGAAUCACUUCUGCAACAGUUGAAUUUGAAUUUGAUUAUGCAUAUGGUUGUCUUCAAGGGGAGAGGGGUGUUCAUCAAAUAAUAAGUGGUUCAGAAACUGGAUCAACAAUUGAUGAGGUUAGCCUAGCAGCUGUCGAUAUAAUUCAUCUGUUCCGUGAUUCGGCCCCUGACCUAAAAAUUAGUGAGGAGGAUUUGCUAAUCUUGUGCCCAUCGUCAUCGCCUGAAGUAAAAGUCAUUGAAGGCUGGUCUGGAGUUGUUAUUCAGCAUGUUCCUACUGGUUUUGUCGUCCAAUCUUUGGGUGAAAGGAGCAUUUUUGCAAAUAAGAUUAAGGCCCUCAACUGGUUGAAGGCUAAACUUCUUAUCGCAGCCAGAGAUGUAGGAGUUCCAAGCAUAAAUGGCUUCAAGAAAGAAAAUGUGUUCGAUGUAUGGCGAGACAAGGUCCGAAGAUAUGUUCUUUACCCUCGCAAGCAUGUGAAAGAUGUAAGAAGUGGUGUUGAAAUGCCUGACCUGUAUUCUGUUUUGGACGGUAAUAUAGAACCUCUGAUUGGAGCUCAUAUCCAGAUGAGACUCUCAAAUGACAUGCCUCCAUAGUAAAGCAGCUUUUCCCAAUUUGCUCUAUUAA